rnacentral:rRNA from 1 species
GAUGAACGCUGGCGGCGUGCCUAAUACAUGCAAGUAGAACGCUGAAGGAAGGAGCUUGCUCUUUCCGGAUGAGUUGCGAACGGGUGAGUAACGCGUAGGUAACCUGCCUGGUAGCGGGGGAUAACUAUUGGAAACGAUAGCUAAUACCGCAUAACAGUAGAUGUUGCAUGAUAUCUACUUAAAAGGUGCAAUUGCACCACUACCAGAUGGACCUGCGUUGUAUUAGCUAGUUGGUGAGGUAACGGCUCACCAAGGCGACGAUACAUAGCCGACCUGAGAGGGUGAUCGGCCACACUGGGACUGAGACACGGCCCAGACUCCUACGGGAGGCAGCAGUAGGGAAUCUUCGGCAAUGGACGGAAGUCUGACCGAGCAACGCCGCGUGAGUGAAGAAGGUUUUCGGAUCGUAAAGCUCUGUUGUAAGAGAAGAACGAGUGUGAGAGUUGAAAGUUCACACUGUGACGGUAUCUUACCAGAAAGGGACGGCUAACUACGUG